UUGUCUGUUACUUUCUCAUUAUCCCCUCAGCCUCUGGGAUCAAAGCAGAUGAAAAAUGGAUGAAUGGUGACCUGUCCAGUCUGGCUGUUGGACUCACCCAGCUCCCAGCAGCGCUCGCAGGAAGGGAAGCUCACAUUUAUGAUGAACAAUGUGCCAGGCACUUAGGAGGACUAAAAUCACAACAUACACAAAAUGCACAAGGCUUAUGGUGGAAAAUAGAAAUCACAGCUCUCCAAGAUUCUCAGAACAUGGUGAUGAGUUGGUACAACAACAGAAGCGAAGUUCCAGCCCAAAGCAUAUCCCUGUGGAACUGUCAGGCAUAGAAUGAGUCUGCGGGCCAUGGAGGCAAGCAGUAGCCAGGAAUGACCCACUGACACAGGAUGUCUACAUUUUUAAUUUAGAUGCACAUAUAUGAACAACCAAAAGAGUCUAGAAGAUUAAAAAUGAAACAGACUCUGGAUAGUAGGAUUUGGGGUUAUACUAAAUCAGGACGUGGUAUGAACACUGAUCAGCCAGAGACUGACACAAAGAGGUCCCAAAAGAAGGACAAAUUGGACAGAAGCAAGAGCCAACUGAGGAAAGCAAC